ensembl:snoRNA
ACUCUUUGACAAUGGGCAAAAAGACACCUAAUUGGGGGUGGUGCUAUUAUAUCAGUCAAGGGCAGAACAGACGUGCAGUCCUUUGUUCAUUCUAGCUUGAUGCCUGGAUUGUGGCCAGAGCUGUUUCAUACCUGGGGCACAUAA